rnacentral:rRNA from 2 species
CGAACUCUGGUAUUGAUUGGUGCUUGCAUCAUGAUUUACAUUUGAGUGAGUGGCGAACUGGUGAGUAACACGUGGGAAACCUGCCCAGAAGCGGGGGAUAACACCUGGAAACAGAUGCUAAUACCGCAUAACAACUUGGACCGCAUGGUCCGAGUUUGAAAGAUGGCUUCGGCUAUCACUUUUGGAUGGUCCCGCGGCGUAUUAGCUAGAUGGUGAGGUAACGGCUCACCAUGGCAAUGAUACGUAGCCGACCUGAGAGGGUAAUCGGCCACAUUGGGACUGAGACACGGCCCAAACUCCUACGGGAGGCAGCAGUAGGGAAUCUUCCACAAUGGACGAAAGUCUGAUGGAGCAACGCCGCGUGAGUGAAGAAGGGUUUCGGCUCGUAAAACUCUGUUGUUAAAGAAGAACAUAUCUGAGAGUAACUGUUCAGGUAUUGACGGUAUUUAACCAGAAAGCCACGGCUAACUACGUGCCAGCAGCCGCGGUAAUACGUAGGUGGCAAGCGUUGUCCGGAUUUAUUGGGCGUAAAGCGAGCGCAGGCGGUUUUUUAAGUCUGAUGUGAAAGCCUUCGGCUCAACCGAAGAAGUGCAUCGGAAACUGGGAAACUUGAGUGCAGAAGAGGACAGUGGAACUCCAUGUGUAGCGGUGAAAUGCGUAGAUAUAUGGAAGAACACCAGUGGCGAAGGCGGCUGUCUGGUCUGUAACUGACGCUGAGGCUCGAAAGUAUGGGUAGCAAACAGGAUUAGAUACCCUGGUAGUCCAUACCGUAAACGAUGA